AUGACGGCCGCGAAGGUGGACAUGGGAAGGAGGUUGUCUCGUAUUACUGGUGAAGGGAAAGAUAGAGAAUUACAGAUGUUUUGGACAUUUUCGAAGCUGCUGCUGUCGUUGAUUGCAGGAGAACAACACGACGACACACCGCACACAGCACAGGCUAGCGGCGAGUACGGCGGUACGGCCACCGUGUGCAUAUCCAUCUACAAGCUCGAGCUCCCCUCGCCGGCCCGUUGUCACGAUGAUGCCGACGCCGCCGUCGCCACCGUCGAGCCGCGGGAGGCCAUGAACGUGGAUUCGAAAGCAUCCUACCUCAUCCAGAUCAAGAACUCCGAACAGCCGCCAUCCUCCGAUGGUCGCGGCGGUGACAAGAUCAAGCCGCCCGGGUCCAGAUCAAGCCGGGAUGGGAGGGAUCGAGCCUCGAGCUUAGAGAUGGCAAUGGUGAAUUCACCGUCAGGGGUUACCUCAGCAUCCCCGUCACCGCGGUGAUAAAAUUUCA
rnacentral:lncRNA from 1 species